UGGACGCUGGCUCCCAGCAGGCCGCGCCUGGCCACACCGAUGCCGGCCGGACGGUUGGAUGACCCAAGUCCCUCCUCUCCUCGGGCUGCCUGUGUAUCCACAUGAUCCUUCAAGGCAUAAGCAGCUUCUUCAUCCAUAGAGGGUCCUGCUAACAAAAGAACCUCAUUAUUACUUAGCUCAGAAUGUUCAGUGGUCUCUGCCAUGGUCCAACCACUUCUAGAGAACUGUCUGGGUCCGAGUUCCUCAUUUUAUGAAAAACACUGAAAAGUUGGAGUAGGUUCAGAUGAUAGCAGCUAUGGUGAUGAGAAAGCAGAUCUUGUGAAAAUUGGUAAGAAGGAGGAGGAGGAGGAGGAUGAUGACGACGACGAUGAUGACAACAACAAUUUGGGAUGUUUUAUUCUGGAGAAAGAAAGGCUGAGGGAGCGACAAGCUGAUGUCUGUCUGCAAUCUUUUACGUGGUCGUGUUAAAGGGAGAUUCAGCUCAUUCUCCUUAGCCCCACAGGGCAGAAUUAGGACCAAUGGGUGGAAGCUACAGGGAAGUCAUUGUGGACCCCAUAUAAAAAGAGUUUCCACAAUUUGAAGGAACUGUCUAGUGAUUUCCCUGUCACUGUCAUUCUUCAAGUGAAAUUUGAAUGAUCUCUUUUUGGAGUUGUUGUAUCUUUAGAUAGGACUUGGACUUGAUAAUUUAAGAACUCUUCUAAUCUUAAGGUUUUAUGAUUUUAAAAGGAAGGAAAUAGGGGAAAUAGGAGACCUGGAUUUUUUCUUUUUUAUCUUUCUUCAGCUUAACUGCAUGACCGUAAAGUGUUAAUCAAAAAUCUUUUAGGGCAGGUAGGUGGAGCAUUGGAUAGA